rnacentral:rRNA from 1 species
GACGGAGGAGGCAAGCGUUAUCCGGAAUUAUUGGGCGUAAAGCGUCCGCAGGCGGCUUUUUAAGUCUGUUGUCAAAGCCCACAGCUCAACUGUGGAUCGGCAAUGGAAACUGGGAAGCUAGAGUGUGGUAGGGGUAGAGGGAAUUCCCGGUGUAGCGGUGAAAUGCGUAGAUAUCGGGAAGAACACCAGUGGCGAAGGCGCUCUACUGGGCCACAACUGACACUGAGGGACGAAAGCUAGGGGAGCGAAUGGG